rnacentral:lncRNA from 1 species
GAUGAACUGUCCCGAAGUCAUCUACUAAUCCAAAGUUUUAAUCAAGGAGGACAAAUAGCGAUGGGCAUGAUCCGAGUGGAGAUGACUAUUGGUGAACUCAAGUCAAGCACGAUAUUCCACGUGAUUGAUGCAAGAACUUCUUGAGGAAGACGUCAUUUUUGGCUCUUUUAACUCAAAGUCGUCGCCUCGACCGCUGGGGGCAUGUUCCAAGUCAAGCGAAGUUGAAGGAUGGACUCAUGUUGCUCCAAAGAAAUUACACAUGAAGCCUACGUUGCAUCCACAUAUUCACCAAUCG